AUAAAUAAGACGCGAAUACUGUCAACUCCCGUGGUACAUAUUUCAUAAGGGCAGGGACGAGCAAGUCCUGAAUUUCUGAUUAUAUUAACGUAACCAGAAUCAAUUCUUUGCGAUGCCCGUUACCCCUCGGUCGACUGUAUUAUACGAUUACAAUUAGUAGCACCCCCUGCGUAUUCCCUGAUUACAUCAGAAACGAACCUCCAGAGGCUGCACAAUUGGGUAGUUAUCGAUAUUGGGGCACAGGAUGUUUUGUUCGCAGGGAGUUAAACGUUAUGACUUUUUCCUCGUUACGCCAACUUGCGUGUAUCCAGGAUAUUUUAGCGACGUUCUGGCAAAGGAGGAAUCAAAGCUGAAAAUUUGAUAACGUGCAUAUGUAUAUAUAGUUGACCCUUUAUUACUUGGAAACCUCUAUAAGGCAACAAUUUUGUUAAAAUUCAUAAUUCAUAAUUCAUAUCGCUAAAAUUAAAUAAAAGUUACUUUAACUCGAAUUAUUUGCCAUAGGUCCAGAUACAUUAUUUUACAUCCGUACCUCGAAUUUGGAAUAGCCAGAUCUCUACACGCUGCUGCCCCCACGACUAGAAGUGCACCUAUAGCUAUGUGUCACAGCACGUGAGAAACCAAUUAUUUGAUAUUGUCCCCUUUCUUCCAACCGCUGGGAUUGUCUUAAAUAAAAUAAGACGUUGCAAGCCGUAUUCCUACCUCGUCGACGUUCGACUAUGUAUACAUUCAUGGGAGGUAAUUGUUUUUCAUUAGUCGAAUGAAUAAUUGUCAUUAUCUAGAUAUACUUAAGAUAAAUACAUUAAAAUAAAUUUAUAUAAUAUAAUACAUAAAAUAAAUUUAUUGCAAAGUAAAUAAUUUGAACCCAGAGAGUCACCUUAUAAACGCCAGACAGCUAAUAAAACUGCACUAACCGCAGGCCCUUCUUGCGCUGACAAUUUGCUAAAAAAUGCCAUCACGCUCAGCUGCGCAGGAUCGACUGGAUGUUAUUUCUCUGCGGAAACAGCGACGACAUCUUCAUUCAAGGAGCCACUAGCCUCGAGAGAGCUAUGGUGCCGAUUCAUCGUGUGCACAAUUCGUCUCGUUCCUAUUCACUCGUACGAAAAACGGAGUCAAUGGGCCGUCGUCCUUGUGUUCGUUCCGACUGCAGGCUUAUUAUUAUGACCCGAAUUAUUUCGGGAAUAGCAGCCAGUAGCUACAGGUGUACCCGUUCAUGGAUACGUCGUUCGGGACACAUUCAGCGACGUACGGUCAUUGAGAAGAAAAGUUUUUGCCGAUGACGAAUCGUAGGAAGCGACCGAUCCUCCGGGGAGGAAGCGUAAAAAGGAUCUGCCGGCAUUGAACGAUCCGUUCGUCCAGAACGGACCGGCUCCCGUCGAUGGAAAGCAUCCUGGUUCUCCUUUUACAUCGAAUAAUCGAGCAACGGUGUAAUUGUGAAGUUGGAAGCACGCUGUUCACCGACAAUGCGCACAUUUGUCAGGAGAACAGUAUCGAUGAGCACUUCAUUUCUCGAGAUCGUGGAAAGUCCUCGAAAGCACACGCCCAGGUUAUUCCAGCUGUGAUUUGGAAAGUCCUGUAUGGUGUUUUGGAUUUAUUUGAGUUUUGUAUAAUUCAUAUGUUGGUAUCUUUGUUGUGUAUUGCUGGAAUUCAGAAAUGUUUCUUUGUUAGAAAUUGCCUAUUAAGUUACUAGUGAAUGAUAGUUAUUGGAUGAAUCUGAGGAUGUAAGUUAUGGUUCAUGUUGUAAAAAUAUGUACGUUAGUAACAAUCAA